UCUGAUUGAAUAUGUCGUACUGUGGCCUGGGCCUAAGGAUUUCAGGGGAUUUUUGAAGGACUGAUCUUCCAUAUGCGUGUAAUAAGCCAUCAGCAGCCAGGUCAAAGUUGAGUGAGCCUAUGGAGAAGAUGGUUCUCCACAACACUGUGCCUGUCGUGACAUAGCAUCCUGCAUCACUGAGCACACAGAGGAUGUUCUUUUCCCAAUGCACACUACAGACCUAUCCCACCACCUAACUGACGUAGUCUGAGGGCAGUUUAAAUGUCACAGGACAAUUCCACUCACUGUUUUGUGAAAGGAGCAUCUACAGUGGUUUCUGCAAAGGGACAAAACUCUACUGCUGCCCAUGAGAACUGAAAUGGCUCAUAAUACGGAGAUUUAUUCACAAACAGUCGAAAUGCCUUCGAUGCGGGUUGAAAAUUGAAGAAGAGAAGAUUGUG